AUUGAACGCUGGCGGCAUGCCUUACACAUGCAAGUCGAACGGUAACGGGCCUUCGGGUGCCGACGAGUGGCGAACGGGUGAGUAAUACAUCUGAACGUGCCCGAUCGUGGGGGAUAACGAGGCGAAAGCUUUGCUAAUACCGCAUACGAUCUACGGAAGAAAGCAGGGGACCGCAAGGCCUUGCGCGGACGGAGCGGCCGAUGGCAUGUUAGGUAGGUGGUGGGAUAAAAGCUUACCAAGCCGACGAUCUGUAGCUGGGCCGAGAGGAUGAUCAGACAUACUGGGACUGAGACACGGCCCAGACUCCUACGGGAGGCAGCAGUGGGGAAUUUUGGACAAUGGGCGCAAGCCUGAUCCAGCCCUGCCGCGUGCAGGAUGAAGGCCUUCGGGUUGUAAACUGCUUUUGUACGGAACGAAAAGCCUUCUUUUAAUACAGGAGGGUCAUGACGGUACCGUAAGAAUAAGCACCGGCUAACUACGUG
rnacentral:rRNA from 1 species